rnacentral:rRNA from 1 species
CAUGUCUUUAUGAAUUAUAAUUUAAAGUCUUAUCUGCUCCAUGAUGAAAUAUUAAAUAGCUGCGGUAUUUUGACUGUACUAAGGUAGCAUAAUCAAUAGUUUUUUAAUUAAAAGCUGGAAUGAAUGAUUUGAUAAGGUAAAUAUUGUCUCAAGUUUAAAAAGAUUAAAAUUUAUUUUUUAGUAAAAAUACUAAAAUGAAUUUAAAAGACGAGAAGACCCUAUAGAUUUUUAUAAGUAUAUUUAUUAUAUAUUAAAAUGUAAUUAAUUAUAAUAAUUGAAUUAUUGGGUUGGGGUAAUUAUUAAAUUAAUUAAAUUUUAAUAUUAUAAUAGACAAAAAUUAUUGAAUUUUUGAUCCUUAAUAAAGAUAAAAAGAAUAAAUUACCUUAGGGAUAACAGCGUAAUUUUUUUAGAUAGAUCUUAUUGAUAAAAAAGUUUGCGACCUCGAUGUUGAAUUAAGAUAAAAUUUUAAUGAAGAAGUUAAAAAAUUUUGGUCUGUUCGACCAUUAAAAUCUUACGUGAUCUGAGUUCAGACCGGA